rnacentral:rRNA from 1 species
GACGAACGCUGGCGGCGUGCCUAAUACAUGCAAGUCGAACGCAGUGGGGACGGGUGAGUAACACGUGGGUAACCUCCCAUCAGAGGGGAUAACACUUGGAAACUGGUGCUAAACCGAUACUGAUGGAUGAACCCGCGGGGCAUUAGCUAGUUGGUGAGGAAACGGCUUACCAAGGCCAAGAUGCAUAGCCGACCUGAGAGGGUGAUCGGCCACACUGGGACUGAGACACGGCCCAGACUCCGACGGUAGGCAGCAGUAGGGAAUCUUCGGCAAGGGACGAAAGUCUGACCGAGCAACGCCGCGUGAAUGAAGAAGGUUUUCGGAUCGUAAAACUCUUUUGUUAGAGAAGCGGUAUCUAACCAGAAAGCCACGGCUAACUACGUGCCAGCAGCCGCGGUAAUAC